rnacentral:rRNA from 1 species
CAUCCCGAACACGGAAGUUAAGCUCUUCAGCGCCGAUGGUAGUUGGGGGUUUCCCCCUGCAAGAGUAGGACGUCGCCGGUC